GCCCAAGAGACUGAGAUAACACCUGGAAACAGAUGCUAAUACCGGAUAACAACACUAGACGCAUGUCUAGAGUUUAAAAGAUGGUUCUGCUAUCACUCUUGGAUGGACCUGCGGUGCAUUAGCUAGUUGGUAAGGUAACGGCUUACCAAGGCAAUGAUGCAUAGCCGAGUUGAGAGACUGAUCGGCCACAUUGGGACUGAGACACGGCCCAAACUCCUACGGGAGGCAGCAG
rnacentral:rRNA from 1 species